rnacentral:rRNA from 1 species
GACGAACGCUGGCGGCGUGCUUAACACAUGCAAGUCGAACGGAAAGGCCCUGCUUUUGUGGGGUGCUCGAGUGGCGAACGGGUGAGUAACACGUGAGUAACCUGCCCUUGACUUUGGGAUAACUUCAGGAAACUGGGGCUAAUACCGGAUAGGAGCUCCUGCUGCAUGGUGGGGGUUGGAAAGUUUCGGCGGUUGGGGAUGGACUCGCGGCUUAUCAGCUUGUUGGUGGGGUAGUGGCUUACCAAGGCUUUGACGGGUAGCCGGCCUGAGAGGGUGACCGGCCACAUUGGGACUGAGAUACGGCCCAGACUCCUACGGGAGGCAGCAGUGGGGAAUAUUGCACAAUGGGCGGAAGCCUGAUGCAGCAACGCCGCGUGCGGGAUGACGGCCUUCGGGUUGUAAACCGCUUUCGCCUGUGACGAAGCGUGAGUGACGGUAAUGGGUAAAGAAGCACCGGCUAACUACGUGCCAGCAGCCGCGGUGAUACGUAGGGUGCGAGCGUUGUCCGGAUUUAUUGGGCGUAAAGGGCUCGUAGGUGGUUGAUCGCGUCGGAAGUGUAAUCUUGGGGCUUAACCCUGAGCGUGCUUUCGAUACGGGUUGACUUGAGGAAGGUAGGGGAGAAUGGAAUUCCUGGUGGAGCGGUGGAAUGCGCAGAUAUCAGGAGGAACACCAGUGGCGAAGGCGGUUCUCUGGGCCUUUCCUGACGCUGAGGAGCGAAAGCGUGGGGAGCGAACAGGCUUAGAUACCCUGGUAGUCCACGCUGUAAACGGUGGGUACUAGGUGUGGGGUCCAUUCCACGGGUUCCGUGCCGUAGUUAACGCUUUAAGUACCCCGCCUGGGGAGUACGGCCGCAAGGCUAAAACUCAAAGGAAUUGACGGGGCCCCGCACAAGCGGCGGAGCAUGCGGAUUAAUUCGAUGCAACGCGUAGAACCUUACCUGGGUUUGACAUGGAUCGGGAGUGCUCAGAGAUGGGUGUGCCUCUUUUGGGGUCGGUUCACAGGUGGUGCAUGGCUGUCGUCAGCUCGUGUCGUGAGAUGUUGGGUUAAGUCCCGCAACGAGCGCAACCCUUGUUCACUGUUGCCAGCACGUUAUGGUGGGGACUCAGUGGAGACCGCCGGGGUCAACUCGGAGGAAGGUGGGGAUGACGUCAAGUCAUCAUGCCCCUUAUGUCCAGGGCUUCACGCAUGCUACAAUGGCUGGUACAGAGAGUGGCGAGCCUGUGAGGGUGAGCGAAUCUCGGAAAGCCGGUCUCAGUUCGGAUUGGGGUCUGCAACUCGACCUCAUGAAGUCGGAGUCGCUAGCAAUCGCAGAUCAGCAACGCUGCGGUGAAUACGUUCCCGGGGCUUGUACACACCGCCCGUCAAGUCAUGAAAGUUGGUAACACCCGAAGCCGGUGGCCUAACCGUUGUGGGGGAGCCGUCGAAGGUGGGACUGGUGAUUAGGACUAAGUCGUAACAAGGUAGCCGUACCGGAAGG